CCUACGGGAGGCAGCAGUGAGGAAUAUUGGUCAAUGGCCGGAAGGCUGAACCAGCCAUGCCGCGUGAAGGUCAGUGCCCUAUGGGCGGUAAACUUCUUUUGUGCGGGAGCAAUAAUGGUCACGUGUGGCCAGCCGAGAGUACCGUACGAAUAAGCAUCGGCUAACUCUGUGCCAGCAGCCGCGGUAAUACGGGGGAUGCAAGCGUUAUCCGGAUUUAUUGGGUUUAAAGGGUGCGUAGGCGUUGAGGUAAGUCAGCGGGAAAAUGUCGGGGCUCAACCCCGGCCGGCCGUUGAAACUGGUUUUCGAGAGUUGGAGAGAAGUAUGCGGAAUUCGUGGUGUAGCGGUGGAAUGCAUAGAUAUCACGAAGAACUCCGAUUGCGAAGGCAGCAUACCGGCUCCAUACUGACGCUGAGGCACGAAAGCGUGGGGAUCGAACAGGAUUAGAUACCCCGGUAGUC
rnacentral:rRNA from 1 species